ACCAGACUCCUACGGGAGGCAGCAGUGGGGAAUAUUGCACAAUGGGGGAAACCCUGAUGCAGCGACGCCGCGUGAAGGAAGAAGUAUUUCGGUAUGUAAACUUCUUUUAUCAGGGACGAAGCAAGUGACGGUACCUGAUGAAUAAGCCACGGCUAACUACGUGCCAGCAGCCGCGGUAAUACGUAGGUGGCAAGCGUUAUCCGGAUUUACUGGGUGUAAAGGGCGUGUAGGCGGGAGUGCAAGUCAGAUGUGAAAACUAUGGGCUCAACCCAUAGCCUGCAUUUGAAACUGUACUUCUUGAGUGCUGGAGAGGCAAUCGGAAUUCCGUGUGUAGCGGUGAAAUGCGUAGAUAUACGGAGGAACACCAGUGGCGAAGGCGGAUUGCUGGACAGUAACUGACGCUGAGGCGCGAAAGCGUGGGGAGCAAACAGGAUUAGAUCCCCCAGUA
rnacentral:rRNA from 1 species